rnacentral:rRNA from 1 species
AAAAUUCUGAAUUAAGCAAAUAUCAUGAAUAGCUUAAGAAAAGUAUCGGCUAAUAUCUGUGCCAGCAGCCGCGGUAACACAGAAGAUGCAAGCGUUAUUCGGUUUUAUUGGGUGUAAAGGGUUCGUAGGUUUUUUAUUAAGACUUUUACUAAAUAAUAAGAAAAUUUAUUACUAAAAAGUGACUAAUAAAAUUGAGUAUAAAAAUUUAGGGUAGAAGUAAUUUUUUGUGUAAUAGUAAAAUGUUUCUAUACAAAAGAGAGCAUCAAAGGUGAAGACAUUCUACUUAAUUUAUACUGACGUUGAGGGACGAAAUUUAUGGUAGCGAAUGGGAUUAGAUACCCCAGUAGUCAUAAACGUAAACGAUGAAUACUAAAUUUUAACUUUUAAAUAAUGUUAAAGUUAAAGUUAACACGUUAAGUAUUCCACCUGGGGAGUAUAUCUUAGCGAUGAAACUCAAAGGAAUUGGCGAGGGUCCUUAUUAACGAUGGAGUGUGUGGUUUAAUUCGAUAUUGAGCGAUUACCAAGUUUUUUAAUGAAUGAAUUUUUUUAUUUAUUGAAAAGGUGGUGCAUGGCUGUUGUCAGUUCGUGCUGUGAAGUGUUAGGUUCAGUCCUAUAACGAACGUAACCCCUUUAAUUUGUUAUAAGUAAACGCAUUUAUUAUAUUUAAUAACAAUAAACUCUUUUUAUAGAUUCUUUUUUGGAUUAUAAAAGGAUGUUUUAUUUUAUUUGUAUAUUUAUGUAAGUUAUUUAUCAAAAUUAAACAGCUAUAAAUAAAUUUAUUUGAUAAAAUAGAGGAAGAGGGACUAUAGCAAGUCAACAUGCCCCGUAUAAUUUGGGCUACGCGCGCACUACAAUGGAAUAUACAAUCUAUAUCUUAAAAAAAAUAUUCCUCAGUUCGGAUUGUGGGAUUAAGCUCGCCCACAUGAAGUAGGAAUCGUAAGUAAUCGUAUGCAGAAUCAUACGGUGAAAUAGUACCCUAUUUCUUGAUAGGAAAUAGGGCAAAUAGGGAUCUUGUACACACUGCCCGUCACGUUAUGGUGAUUCUAUUGUCUAAAGUCUUUUUUAUAAAGGGA